rnacentral:rRNA from 1 species
UACGAAGGUGGCAAGCGUUACUCGGAAUUACUGGGCGUAAAGCGCAUGUAGGCGGCUUAUUAAGUCGGAUGUGAAAUCCCUCGGCUCAACUGAGGAACUGCAUCCGAUACUGGUAAGCUUGAGUGUCGGAGGGGAUGGUAGAAUUCCUGGUGUAGAGGUGAAAUUCGUAGAUAUCAGGAGGAAUACCUGUGGCGAAGGCGACCAUCUGGAAGACAACUGACGCUGAGAUGCGAAAGCGUGGGUAGCAAACAGG